AAUAGAUACCCAGGUAGUCCACGCCCUAAACGAUGUCAACUAGCUGUUGGGUCUUCGGACCUUGGUAGCGCAGCUAACGCGUGAAGUUGACCGCCUGGGAAGUACGGUCGCAAGAUUAAAACUCAAAGGAAUUGACGGGGACCCGCACAAGCGGUGGAUGAUGUGGAUUAAUUCGAUGCAACGCGAAAAACCUUACCUACCCUUGACAUGUCUGGAAUCCCGAAGAGAUUUGGGAGUGCUCGCAAGAGAACCGGAACACAGGUGCUGCAUGGCUGUCGUCAGCUCGUGUCGUGAGAUGUUGGGUUAAGUCCCGCAACGAGCGCAACCCUUGUCAUUAGUUGCUACGAAAGGGCACUCUAAUGAGACUGCCGGUGACAAACCGGAGGAAGGUGGGGAUGACGUCAAGUCCUCAUGGCCCUUAUGGGUAGGGCUUCACACGUCAUACAAUGGUCGGGACAGAGGGUCGCCAACCCGCGAGGGGGAGCCAAUCCCAGAAACCCGAUCGUAGUCCGGAUCGCAGUCUGCAA
rnacentral:rRNA from 1 species